CGACGCGAAAAUGUGGUAAAUCCUGUUGUGGAGGUAGAAAACGUGGAGCCAGUUGCUAAUGUUGACGUGGUGGAACCGACAAGUAAUGUUGAUGUUGCUGGUCCUUCGAAGAAAUCAAAGAAACGAGAUAGGAGCAGCAAGAAGUCACACUCAUCCUCUCGGCGCCAUCGCCAUAGUGGAAAUGUUUCAUGUGAACCUCUUCCCGAGACGAUUUUUAGUGCUACGAAUAAAUAUGCAAAAUUCGUUCAAACAUCUUUUAGUGAAUCAACUUACAAUAUGCUGAAGAAUAUGGAUGUUGCUUCAUUAGCGGAUUCUGUUAUUGAAUUAUCAAGUAGAAAUCUUUUGAUUGGAAAGAUGAUGAAAGAGAAGAAUGGAAACUGCGUGUCGUUGUCCGAAUUUGAGAAGCUGAAGAAUG
rnacentral:lncRNA from 1 species